CGGAAGAAGCAUUGUUAAGGAACUCGGCAAAAUGACCCCGUAACUUCGGGAGAAGGGGUGCCCACGAAAGUGGGCCGCAGAGAAUAGGCUCAAGCAACUGUUUAGCAAAAACACAGGUCUAUGCAAAACCGAAAGGUGAGGUAUAUGGGCUGACGCCUGCCCGGUGCUGGAAGGUUAAGAGGAGAGGUUAGCGCAAGCGAAGCUUUGAAUUUAAGCCCCAGUAAACGGCGGCCGUAACUAUAACGGUCCUAAGGUAGCGAAAUUCCUUGUCGGGUAAGUUCCGACCCGCACGAAAGGCGUAAUGAUUUGAGCGCUGUCUCGACAAUGCACCCGGUGAAAUUGAAGUACCAGUGAAGAUGCUGGUUACCUGCGCCAGGACGGAAAGACCCCAUGGAGCUUUACUCCAGCUUGAUACUGGGAUUCGGUAUUGCAUGUACAGGAUAGGUGGGAGGCUAAGAAGCGGUGACGCCAGUUGCCGUGGAGCUGCUGUUGGGAUACCACCCUUGCAGUACUGGGUUUCUAACCAGCGGCCUUAAACAGGUCGGGGGACAAUGUCAGGUCCGUUGGGAUACCACCCUUGUGGUGCUGGGUUUCUAACCAGAGGCCGUGAACCGGUCUGGGGACAAUGUCAGGUGGGGAGUUUGACUGGGGCGGUCGCCUCCGAAAGGGUAUCGGAGGCGCUCAAAGGUUCCCUCAGAAUGGUUGGAAACCAUUCGAAGAGUGCAAAGGCAGAAGGGAGCUUGACUGCGACACCGACGGGUGGAGCAGGUACGAAAGUAGGACUUAGUGAUCCGGUGGUAUAAAGUGGGAUUGCCAUCGCUCAACGGAUAAAAGCUACCCUGGGGAUAACAGGCUUAUCACUCCCAAGAGUUCACAUCGACGGAGUGGUUUGGCACCUCGAUGUCGGCUCAUCGCAUCCUGGGGCUGUAGUAGGUCCCAAGGGUUGGGCUGUUCGCCCAUUAAAGCGGUACGCGAGCUGGGUUCAGAACGUCGUGAGACAGUUCGGUCCCUAUCCGGCGUGGGCGUAGGAUAUCUGAGAGGAGCUGUCCUUAGUACGAGAGGACCGGGAUGGACGGACCGCUGGUGUACCGGUUAGACUGCCAAGUCUACGGCCGGGUAGCCAAGUCCGGAAGGGAUAAACGCUGAAGGCAUCUAAGCGUGAAGCCCCCCUCAAGAUGAGAUAUCCC
rnacentral:rRNA from 1 species